rnacentral:rRNA from 1 species
GCCUGUUUAUCAAAAACAUUGCCUUACGUAAAAAUAUGUAAGGUAAGCCCUGCCCGGUGACAUGUUUAACGGCCGCGGUACCCUGACCGUGCAAAGGUAGCAUAAUCACUUGCCCUUUAAUUGGGGGCUGGUAUGAAUGGGUAAACGAGGGCUUAACUGUCUCUUAAACACUAGUAGAAACUAACAUCCAGGUGAAGAGGCCUGGAUACACGUGGAAGACAAGAAGACCCUGUCGAGCUCUGUAACUUAUUGCUAUCUUGAAUUUAGAAAAACCUUAGAAAAGCAUCUCAAGUUACUUCGUUGGGGCGACGAGAGGGAAAAAAAUCCACCUCUUUAUAACAAGGCCGAUUAGCCAUAUAAUGACCCAUUUAUAUGAUCAAAGGAAAAAGCUACCGCAGGGAUAACAGGUUAAUUUUCUCAGAGAGCCCACAUUGACGAGAAAGAUUGGCACCUCGAUGUUGGCUUAGAGUCCCCCCAGCGGCGCAGAAGCCCUGAAGGUUGGUUUGUUCAACCAAUAAUACUC